rnacentral:lncRNA from 1 species
UGUGUCUGCAUGUAUGUGUAAUUGUACAUGUGUGUGUAGUACAAGCAGUAUGGUACAGUAGAUGGUUCUCUCCACUUGUUUCAGGAUAUGGAGGCUUUGGUGGUGGUGGUGGAGCAGGCCUUCCUGGUGGAAAAGGUGGUCCUGGAUCCAAGCCUGGAUACCCCAUUGGAACUGGUGUUGGGACAGGAGGUCUUAACCCGGCCCAGGCUCAGGCUAAAGCUGCUAAAUAUGGUGCUGGUCCUGGUUUGGGUGGUGUGCCCGGUGCAGGUGGAGCUUACCCUGGAGCAGGAGGAGCUUACCCUGGAGGAUAUAAUCCUGCUGCAGCCAAAGCUGCUAAAUAUGGAGUCCCAGGAGGUGCGGGUGGCGUCCCAGGUCUUGGAUCAGUAGCAGGAGGAGCAGGAGGAGUACCUGGAUGGUUACCCGCAGGAGCUGGAGGAUAUAACCCUGCUGCGGCCAAAGCUGCUAAAUAUGGAGUUCCAGGGGGUGCAGGUGCAGGCCUAGGAGCUGGAGGAUUUGGUGGAGUACCAGGAGGAGGAGGAGGAGGGGGUGUACCUGGGGCUGGAGGACUCCCAGGAGGAGGUGCAGGCAGGCUCCCAGGUGCUGGCUCAGUCGCAGGAGGAGCAGGAGGAGUACCUGGGGCUGGAGGAUAUAAUCCUGCUGCGGCCAAAGCCGCUAAAUAUGGAGUUCCAGGAGGAGCAGGUGCAGGGUUAGGAGGAGCUGGAGGUACGGCUAUAGUAACCAAACACCUAUAGAUUUAACUAAUGUACAGUCAGGCCCAAAAUGUUUGGCAC